GAUGAACGCUGGCGGCGUGCCUAAUACAUGCAAGUCGAGCGAACGGACGAGAAGCUUGCUUCUCUGAUGUUAGCGGCGGACGGGUGAGUAACACGUGGAUAACCUACCUAUAAGACUGGGAUAACUUCGGGAAACCGGAGCUAAUACCGGAUAAUAUUUUGAACCGCAUGGUUCAAAAGUGAAAGACGGUCUUGCUGUCACUUAUAGAUGGAUCCGCGCUGCAUUAGCUAGUUGGUAAGGUAACGGCUUACCAAGGCAACGAUGCAUAGCCGACCUGAGAGGGUGAUCGGCCACACUGGAACUGAGACACGGUCCAGACUCCUACGGGAGGCAGCAGUGGGGAAUCUUCCGCAAUGGGCGAAAGCCUGACGGAGCAACGCCGCGUGAGUGGUGAAGGUCUUCGGAUCGUAAAACUCUGUUAUUAGGGAAGAACAUAUGUGUAAGUAACUGUGCACAUCUUGACGGUACCUAAUCAGAAAGCCACGGCUAACUACGUG
rnacentral:rRNA from 1 species